UUGUCAUGCCAAUGGCACUGCCCGGUAGCUAAAUGCGGAAGAGAUAAGUGCUGAAAGCAUCUAAGCACGAAACUUGCCCCGAGAUGAGUUCUCCCUGAGACUUUAGGUCUCCUGAAGGAACGUUGAAGACGACGACGUUGAUAGGCCGGGUGUGUAAGCGCAGCGAUGCGUUGAGCUAACCGGUACUAAUGAACCGUGAGGCUUAACCUUACAACGCCGAAG
rnacentral:rRNA from 1 species